rnacentral:rRNA from 1 species
AGAGUUUGAUCCUGGCUCAGGNUAAACGCUGGCGGUAUACGUAACACAUGCAAGUCGAACGGGAGUAGCAAUACUCCAGUGGCGGACGGGUGAGUAACGCGUGAGAAUCUGCCUUUAGGACUGGGACAACCACUGGAAACGGUGGCUAAUACCAGAUAUGCGAUGAGUGAAACGGUUUAUUCCGCCUGAAGAUGAGCUCGCGUCAGAUUAGCUAGUUGGUGAGGUAACGGCUUACCAAGGCGACGAUCUGUAGCUGGUUUGAGAGGACGAUCAGCCACACUGGGACUGAGACACGGCCCAGACUCCUACGGGAGGCAGCAGUGAGGAAUUUUCCGCAAUGGGCGAAAGCCUGACGGAGUAAUACCGCGUGAGGGAAGAAGGCUCUUGGGUCGUAAACCUCUUUUGUCGGGGAAGAACACCAUGACGGUACCUGACGAAUCAGCCUCGGCUAACUCCGUGCCAGCAGCCGCGGUAAUACGGAGGAGGCAAGCGUUAUCCGGAAUUAUUGGGCGUAAAGCGUCCGCAGGUGGCCAUUCAUGUCUGCGGUUAAAUACUGGGGCUCAACCCCGGAAAGGCCGUGGAAACUGAAGAGCUAGAGUGCAGUAGGGGUAGAGGGAAUUCCCGGUGUAGCGGUGAAAUGCGUAGAUAUUGGGAAGAACAUCGGUGGCGAAAGCGCUCUACUGGACUGCAACUGACACUCAGGGACGAAAGCUAGGGGAGCGAAUGGGAUUAGAUACCCCAGUAGUCCUAGCCGUAAACGAUGGAUACUAGGUGUGGCUUGUAUCGACCCGAGCCGUGCCGUAGCUAACG